rnacentral:lncRNA from 1 species
AACAGACGGUGCUAUACGGUUGGAAUUCUGCAAUGUAUCUUUCAUCAUAGAGAUGAAAACUUUAUGACGAAAAGUUUAUGCAGCAAUAUAGGAAUAAUUUUUUUGGGAUUUUCAAAUAAGGAUAACUAAAUUGCAGCAGUAGUAAGGUAGAAAACCAGAACCUGUUGCAAUUCACGGGGAGAUCAAAGGAUGAUCCGUGGUGGUGGAGAUGACGGCGAAAUUUGGC